rnacentral:rRNA from 1 species
GACGAACGCUGGCGGCGUGCUUAACACAUGCAAGUCGAACGAGAGGACAAGAGAAGCUUGCUUCUUUUGGAAUCGAGUGGCAAACGGGUGAGUAACACGUAAACAACCUGCCUUCAGGAUGGGGACGAACAGACGGAAACGACUGCUAAUACCGAAUACGCUUGGGAGACCGCAUGAUCUACCAAGGAAAGGGUGGCCUCUACCUGUAAGCUAUCGCCUGAAGAGGGGUUUGCGUCUGAUUAGGCAGUUGGUGAGGUAACGGCCCACCAAACCUACGAUCAGUAGCCGGUCUGAGAGGAUGAACGGCCACACUGGAACUGAGACACGGUCCAUACUCCUACGGGAGGCAGCAGUAGGGGAAUUUUUGCGCAAUGGGCGAAAGCCUGACGCAGCAACGCCGCGUGUGUGAUGACGCCCUUCGGGUGUAAACACUGUCAUAGGGACGGAAAUUUUGUACGGUACCGUACCAGAGGAA